CCUACGGGUGGCAGCAGUGAGGAAUAUUGGUCAAUGGACGAGAGUCUGAACCAGCCAAGUAGCGUGAAGGAUGACUGCCCUAUGGGUUGUAAACUUCUUUUAUAUGGGAAUAAAAUGUUCCACGUGUGGGAUUUUGUAUGUACCAUAUGAAUAAGGAUCGGCUAACUCCGUGCCAGCAGCCGCGGUAAUACGGAGGAUCCGAGCGUUAUCCGGAUUUAUUGGGUUUAAAGGGAGCGUAGGUGGUUUGUUAAGUCAGUUGUGAAAGUUUGCGGCUCAACCGUAAAAUUGCAGUUGAAACUGGCAGUCUUGAGUACAGUAGAGGUGGGCGGAAGUCGGGGUGUAGCGGUGAAAUGCUUGGAUAUCACGAAGAACUCCGAUUGCGAAGGCAGUUCACUGGACUGCAACUGACACUGAGGCUCGAAAGUGUGGGUAUCAAACAGGAUUAGAUACCCUGUAGUC
rnacentral:rRNA from 1 species